rnacentral:rRNA from 1 species
AGAUUGAACGCUAGCGGCAUGCCUAACACAUGCAAGUCGAACGGUAACAGGCCCUUCGGGGUGCUGACGAGUGGCGGACGGGUGAGUAAUGCGUAGGAAUCUACCCACGAGUGGGGGAUAGCCCGGAGAAAUCCGGAUUAAUACCGCAUAUGCCCUACGGGGUAAAGCGGGGGAUCGUAAGACCUCGCGCUGGUGGAUGAGCCUACGUCCGAUUAGUUAGUUGGUGGGGUAAAGGCCUACCAAGGCUACGAUGGUAGCCGGCCUGAGAGGGUGAACGGCCACACUGGGACUGAGACACGGCCCGAGACCUCCGUACGGGAGGCAGCCUGAGGCGGGCGUGG